rnacentral:snoRNA from 1 species
GUAUUGGGUCCUGAGCGUGAAGCAGGAUUUUCUUGAUCGUUCGUUACUCUGCCUUCAACGAAUGUGAGAAAUCCAUUGAAGAUCAUUCUUGAGAGGUUUAAUAACUUCUUAAGAGGGACUCAAUACUUUCU